UGGUGGUGGGGGAAGGAUUCGAACCUUCGAAGUGUGACACGGCAGAUUUACAGUCUGCUCCCUUUGGCCGCUCGGGAACCCCACC
rnacentral:tRNA from 1 species